rnacentral:rRNA from 1 species
CAGUCAUAUGCUUGUCUCAAAGAUUAAGCCAUGCAUGUCUAAGUAUAAACAAUUUAUACUUGUGAAACUGCGAAUGGCUCAUUAAAUCAGUUAUAGUUUAUUUGAUAGUAUCUUACUACUUGGAUAACCGUGGUAAUUCUAGAGCUAAUACAUGCACACAAUCCCGACUCACGGAGGGAUGUAUUUAUUAGAUACAAAACCAAACUGGGGAGCAAUCUCCAGUGCUUGAUGAUUCAUAAUAACUUCACGAAUCGCAUAGCUUUAUGCUGGCGAUGAA